rnacentral:rRNA from 1 species
UACAGAGGUGGCAAGCGUUGUUCGGAAUUACUGGGCGUAAAGGGCGCGUAGGCGGUCUUGUAAGUCUUGUGUGAAAUCCCUCGGCUUAACUGAGGAACUGCACGAGAUACUGCAAGACUUGAGAUCGGGAGAGGGAAGCGGAAUUCCGGGUGUAGCGGUGAAAUGCGUAGAUAUCCGGAGGAACACCGGUGGCGAAGGCGGCUUCCUGGACCGACACUGACGCUGAGGCGCGAAAGCUAGGGGAGCAAACGGG